rnacentral:lncRNA from 1 species
UGCAGACUGGACACAGAAAAAAAAAAAAAAAAAAGUAUUCAUGCAUGUGUUUAUUUAUUGAAAUAUAUAGGAGGGAAAACCCAAGGGGGGACCAAGAGGACUGCAGACUGGACACAGAAAAAAAAAAAAAAAAGUAUUCAUGCAUGUGUUUAUUUAUUGAAAUAUAUAGGAGGGAAAAACCCAAGGGGGGACCAAGAGGACUGCAGACUGGACACAGAAAAAAAAAAAAAAAAAAAAAAAAAAAAAAAAAAAAAAAAAAAAAAAAAAAAAAAAAAAAAAAAAAAAAAAAAAAAAAAAAAAAAAAAAAAAAAAAAAAAAAAAAAAAAAAAAAAAAGUAUUCAUGCAUGUGUUUAUUUAUUGAAAUAUAUAGGAGGGAAAACCCAAGGGGGGACCAAGAGGACUGCAGACUGGACACAGAAAAAAAAAAAAAAAAAAAGUAUUCAUGCAUGUGUUUAUGUAUUGAAAUAUAUAGGAGGGAAAACCCAAGGGGGGACCAAGAGGACUGCAGACUGGACACAGAAAAAAAAAAAAAAAAAAAAAGUAUUCAUGCAUGUGUUUAUGUAUUGAAAUGUAGAUACUUUUAUGAGGAAUGUGUCCGUGUACUUACAUUUUUCAAAAGAUAAUCUUCAAUGGUAAGACUUGUUUUAUUCGCGCCUCUUCUGGUGUAGCAUAUAACGUGAGUUUUAUUUAGGCAUAUCAGAUGCAUAGCGUGUGUAAUGUGUAGGCCAUUUCAUUCCGUUCUUGCAAUGUGAAUAAUUCAUUUCAAUAUGCUUAUAUCCCUUUUGUGCGCGCUUGUGCGUUUAACGGGGCUUGUUUGUGUGAGCCAGUGCAUUUAUCAUUCAUCUGUUGAUGCUCGAGUUUAAUAAAGGCAGGCUAUUCUUAAGAAACGUAUGUAAA